GUGCCAGCAGCCGCGGUAAUACGGGAGUGGCAAGCGUUAUCCGGAAUUAUUGGGCGUAAAGCGUCCGCAGGCGGCCCUUCAAGUCUGCUGUUAAAAAGUGGAGCUUAACUCCAUCAUGGCAGUGGAAACUGAGGGGCUUGAGUGUGGUAGGGGCAGAGGGAAUUCCCGGUGUAGCGGUGGAAUGCGUAGAUAUCGGGAAGAACACCAGUGGCGAAGGCGCUCUGCUGGGCCAUCACUGACGCUCAUGGACGAAAGCCAGGGGAGCGAAAGGGAUUAGAUACCCCUGUAGUCCUGGCCGUAAACGAUGAACACUAGGUGUCGGGGGAAUCGACCCCCUCGGUGUCGUAGCCAACGCGUUAAGUGUUCCGCCUGGGGAGUACGCACGCAAGUGUGAAACUCAAAGGAAUUGACGGGGGCCCGCACAAGCGGUGGAGUAUGUGGUUUAAUUCGAUGCAACGCGAAGAACCUUACCAGGGUUUGACAUCCUGCGAAUCUCUUGGAAACGAGAGAGUGCCUUCGGGAGCGCAGUGACAGGUGGUGCAUGGCUGUCGUCAGCUCGUGUCGUGAGAUGUUGGGUUAAGUCCCGCAACGAGCGCAACCCACGUCUUUAGUUGCCAGCAUUUAGUUGGGCAUUCUAGAGAGACCGCCGGUGAUAAACCGGAGGAAGGUGUGGAUGACGUCAAGUCAUCAUGCCCCUUACAUCCUGGGCUACACACGUACUACAAUGCUA
rnacentral:rRNA from 1 species